CUCGAAAAGUAGUUGUUAGAUCUCAAAUAAAUUUAAAUGGGACCAAUUGGCACACACCACCUUUCGAUUAAAAAAAAAAAAUACAGUCGAAUUGAGAACCUCCUCCUUUUUUGGAAGUCGGUUAAAAAUGUGUGUACACUCAUUUGAGUGAUAAUCGAAACUAUAAUGCUGGAGCGAAAACAUAGAGUCACUGCCGUGUUAAUUAAUGUGGUCAUUUACAAAAUACAAAAAAUAUAUUCACUAAAAUAAUUCUAAUGCGACGUUUAGUAUCAGACGUUAGUAGUUAUUAUUUUAUUUGAAAUCCUUAAACUGUGGUUAAAAUAAAAAAAUAUAAAACACGAAGAACACACACAGAGAGAGAGAGAGAGAGAAAGAAAGAGAAAGAGAGAGAAAAAGAAAGAGAGAUAAAGAGAGA
rnacentral:misc_RNA from 1 species